GAUGAACGCUAGCGACAGGCCUAACACAUGCAAGUCGAGGGGCAGCACAUGAGUAGCAAUACGAUGGUGGCGACCGGCGCACGGGUGAGUAACACGUAUGCAACCUGCCUUCUACUAUGGGAUAACCCGUUGAAAGACGGACUAAUACCGUAUAAUACAGGGGCUCCGCAUGGAGAUAUUUGUUAAAGAUUUAUUGGUAGAAGAUGGGCAUGCGUAUGAUUAGAUAGUUGGUGAGGUAACGGCUCACCAAGUCAACGAUCAUUAGGGGUUCUGAGAGGGAGGUCCCCCACACUGGUACUGAGACACGGACCAGACUCCUACGGGAGGCAGCAGUGAGGAAUAUUGGUCAAUGGACGAGAGUCUGAACCAGCCAAGUCGCGUGAAGGAAGACGGUUCUAUGAAUUGUAAACUUCUUUUGUGCAGGAAUAAAGUGGGUUACGUGUAACCUUUUGUAUGUACUGUACGAAUAAGGAUCGGCUAACUCCGUGCCAGC
rnacentral:rRNA from 1 species